GUUUAUUUUUCUUAUUAAUUUUAUCAGUAAUAAUAUUGAUCGAUACUUUCUUGGACUAACUUAUUACAUAUGCCAAUUUAAAUUUAAGUUUUGUUACUUAUUUAAAGUGUUUUUUUCAAGUAUUAUUGAUAUUUCUUAAUAAUAUUCUUUUUUAUAAUUUAAAAUUACACAAUUGUGUAAUUAUAAUUUAAAAUUAUAAUUUAAGAAUUAUAUAUAAUUGUAAUAGCCAAUUUUAACCCGGGCCCAAAUUAACCAAUCAAAUCCAAUAAAACUUGGGCCAAUCCUGACCCAAUUGCAUUUGGCCCAAUAAGGCCCAAGUGUGCUAACCCUAGCCUAACCCUAAGCAGCAGUUAGCAGUAGCCACCCCACGUCGCAGCAACCUCCAGUGCCGUGCACGCCCCACGUUCGGCAGCCUCCCAAACUGUCCCACAUCUUUGCUGGCACGUCCACUCGCACAACGCUCACACAUUUGCAAGCCACAGACAACACUAAUAGGAUAUACACACAGCAAAACAGUUGUAAAAGGAUUUAGGGAGGGCUAUAUAAAGGCCAAUGAUUUUCUGUAACUUGGUUAGAAAAAUUUUGUACUAAAAAGAGAAAAAUCUUGUAUUGUAAAAAUACUGAAAUACAAACAAAGAAUCAAAAACAAUUUUUGAAGGUAAUUUUCUUUGUGUUUUAUUUAUUUAUCUACUUUUUUUUUCUUUGCUUCUCUGUUUUUGGUGCAAAAGAAAAAGCAAAAAGAAAAGGACGAAACUUACAUGAAUUGGAGUCGGCGGCGAAGCUUGAACGGCGGUGGCGUGGCGAUAGUUAGGGCUUUAAAGAAGGCCUAGCAGAUCCCUCUUUCUUCCCUCUGUUGUUUUAAAAAAGAAAAAGGAAGAUGAAGCAAUUUUGCGCCUAUUGCUGCUGCAGAGUAGGCUUUUAAUUGGAGAUGAAAAGGGUUUUAAACACUGAUGGGUUAUUUGCGUUUUUAAUCCUUCAUUUUAUCCCAUCAUUUCAAAAUCAUUGUGGUUUGUUUUCAAAUUUUGCCAUGAAAUGUUGAAUUUGUUUUAUUUUAAUCCAUUGCUGCGUGGAGUUUUGGACGGAGGGAUUAAUUUCACUUUCGGUCCUCCACUGUUAACUGCAUGUUCCAUUUGAUCCAUUGGUGUUUUGUUUAUUUCAGAUUUUCCCCUGAAACUUCAAUUAUUUUCAAUUUAAUCCAUAAUCUUUCAUUUUAAGUUUUUUAGUUUAUUUUAUUAAUAUAAUUAUUUUUAUUUUUAUUAUUACUAUUAUUAUUAUAUUUAUUAUACUUACAUAUAUACACGCAUGUGUACUUUAUAAUAUAUGUGUAUAUUUUUUAUUUCUAAAUGUUUUAAAUAUAUAUAUAUAUAGUGCGUAUAUAUUUUAUUACCAUAUUUUAUAUAUAUAUAGUUUAUAUAUAUAUAUUAUAUACAUUCAUAUUUUUUAUAAUUAUUUAUGUUUUCAUGUUUUAUAAUUCAUAUGUUUAUACAUUUUUUAUAAUAUGUACAAAUCAUAUACUUCAUUAUUACUUUAUUUUUCUUAGUUUUAUAUGCAUACGUACAUAUACUUACAUUUUAUGAUUUUCACAUCGUUUUUCAUUUUUUUUAAAAGAAAUUAAAAUAUAUAUUUUUUACAUAUAUGCAUAUACAUAUAUUAUUAAAAACUUUUAUAAAUAUAUUUUCCAUAUAUUUUUAUAUAUACAUAUAUACCUAUAUUUUCAUAAUUAUUAAUAUAUUAUGCUUACGUUUUUAUUUUUAUGACAACUCAUUAUAUUUUAUGAUUAUGUUCUUUUUAUAAUUUUUGUAUACAUAUAUAGGUAUAUUUUAAAUUAGAGUAAUGAUUUCAUGUUACGCAUUAGCGUUUUAUCAUACUUUUAAAGAAAAAUCUAUUUUUGCUUCGUCAAAGCAUUAAAAUCGUUUUUUUUAAUUUUUAAAUAUUUAGCAAUCAUGGUUCUCGAGAAAGAUCGUGUCCUAACUUACUGGAUCAUGAUCAUUUUUUCGAUGAAUUUAACGAGUUAAGUAUUUAUUUUACAAUAAAUUUGCAAUUUUCAAAUAAAACCUUAUUCUCAGGAAUUCAAAAUGUCGGGUCCUAACUUACUGGUCGUGACAUUUCGUUAUCUCGAAAUAAGAAUUUCUAAAACAAAAAGUAAUAUUCGGUAUUUUGAAGAUAUAAAAUAUUGUGCCCUAACUUACUGGGUGUGGUGUUUUAUUUCUUUGAAAUGAGAAUGUUUUAUCAUUUUAGAUCCAUUCACGGGUUAAAAAUUUCUAUUUAAAAUCUUUUCAAAUUUUCGACAUCAAGACAUUAAAUAAUCAAUUUGGUACCGAUUUUUGGGCGUUACGAGGGUGCUAACCCUUCCUCGUGCGUAACUGACUCCCGAACCUGUUUUCUCAAAUUUCGCAGGCCAAAAUUGUUUUUAAGGUGAGCCGAUCACACCUCAAUCAAGGAUCGGUGGCGACUCCAAUUUUUAUUUUCAAAGUCGAUAACUUAUUUUUGUUUUCAAAAAAAUGGUUUUGACAGCUUGACGACUCCAGUGGGGACCAUUAGAGAGUCGAGCCAUGAAUUGAUUAUCUUUUGUCUUUUUUGUCAAAAAUUAAAGUUGUUUUAAAACCUGAUUUUCUCUUUGUAUUCAUUAGUUUUAAUUGUCAUAUGCUUGUUUGGUUGGUUUAAGUCUGUCGGUUUAUUUGCAUUUUUGCAUUUCAUGGUCAAUUUUACCCCUCUAAGUGGAAGUGAGAAACUAGUCCUUCGUGAGGUUUUCACCUCCGUGUACGAUAGUGGAUCGCUUUCGGAAUACAUCUGUACCUAUGUCUUCGUGAGAUUUUCAUCUCCGUGCAGCCAUAGGGAAAUAUAUUCCCCUGAACCGAACUUGGUCCAUAUGAGCCUAUAAUGGGUGAGGAUCGAGGAAUCUGCUGGUUCGGGUACCCUUGCUCUAGAAGCCAAAACCUCAUAUAGUGAACCUUAGGAACCCACCCUAGGUAGAAUUACUUUGAACCUUAGUAGACACCUAAUUAGGAGUUUUUACUAUUUCUUGGUUGUAUUGUAUUUAAUUGUUACUGACUUUUUGUGUUUUACUCUGAUUGCAUGGCAUUACAAUUACAUGGCAUUCCAUUAUAAAGUGGCGUUUCGUAUUCGGUUGCUAGACAGAAAGUUUAUCAUGGGAAAUGGGUUUCUUGAUAAAGUGGAAGAUAAUACGGCUGCCUGAAUAUAUUCCAAGAAACGCUAGAAGGGUGAUGGAGGAAUACAUGACUUUACUUCGUGCCUCAAGGUCAAGCUGAUUAUUCAAGAGUUUCUGACAUUUCAACCUCAUUAAAGAAGCUGAUAACCCUUACGAGGAUGCGCAGACGUUGGAUUAUAACCAGGAUCAAGUAAAAAGGGAGGUAGAGGAGAUACCCCUUUUGAAGAAUUCGCAAGAUUUAUCUUAGCAUCCAGAUGAAGAAGGAGAAGAUGUCUUCGCCUGGAGUAUGAGGCAAAGCCGUAUAUAUAUAUCCGCUUUAUGUAAAGAAAUUCGUCUUCUAGUAAAGUUUUCUAAAUGGAAUUGAAUCAGAAUCAACGUUUCUUUUUGCAUUCAUCUCAUGCAUUUGUAUUAAUCUCAUCAUAUGCACUAAAAUCCACCAAAAGAGCCUAGUCAAUUAAAAUUAUUCUUCAGUUAACCCGGAAACCAACCAGCCAACCCAGCCCCAUUACAGUACAAGAGCGAAAUCAAAGAAUAUGGAUCAAAUAUUAGAAAAGCUCGAGCAAUUUCAAAAAGACAUACAGGAUCAGCUCCAGCAACAAAUGAAGGAACAGCUUGAAAAAAUUUAGCAGAAGUUGAUGGACAAAAUGGAGGAAUCUUAAGGAAGCAUGAUAACCCAGUUAACUCAGCUCUUAAUUGGCGGAAAGGAUAAGGGAAGGAGCCCUGUAACAAAUAUUGAGGAGGAAGGCGAGGAUGGACUCCAGUAUCCUCCGGGCUUCACUCCCCCAGAUGUGCAGCCCUAAGUGGAAAUGUGCCCGCGUAAAUCUUCUGUUACCAUUAGGCCUCAGCAAUUUCAGGCCGAUACUUCAAAGGCGAUGAAUUACCAAACUGGAUCAGGCUCUAGCCCUGAGAAUAUUCCCGUCAAUCUUGUAGUCCCUAACUUCGAUGAAGUGGUCGAAAAGGAAAAAGCAAAGGAAGAAUUGCCAAAGCAAUUUGAAGAAAGAUGGAAGUGGGUCGAAGAGAAGUUCAAGGCAAUGGAAAGUACUGAGAGAUAUGGUGGGAUUGAUGCUAAAGAUCUGAGUUUGGUACUAGAUUUGGUGCUACCUCAAAAGUUCAAAAUGCCAGAAUUCGAGAAGUAUAAUGGGACCAGUUGCCUUGAGGCCUACAUUACCAUGUUUUGUAGACGAAUGGCUGGGUAUGUCAAUAAUGAGCAGUUAUUGAUACACUGUUUUCAGGAUAGCCUCACGGUGGCAGCGUCUAAAUGGUAUAAUCAAUUGAGCCGUGCUAAGAUUAGUUACUGGAGGAUUUGGCACAGGCUUUUAUGAAGCAGUACAGUCAUGUGGCAGAAAUGGUUCCUGACAGAAUUACUUUGCAAAACAUGGAGAAGAAGUCGAAUGAAGGUUUCAGGCAGUACGCUCAGAGAUGGAGGGAGGUUGCAGUUCAGGUCCAACCACCGCUCCUUGAAAGAGAAAUGGUGAUGCUCUUUAUAAAUACGUUGAAGGCCCCAUUCAUCACACAUAUGUUGGGAAGUGCCACAAAAAACUUUUCUGACAUAGUUAUGAGUGGUGAGAUGAUUGAGAGUGCUAUUAGGAGCGGAAAGAUUGAUGCUAGAGGAAAUAACAGAAAUCAAACCCCAAAGGAAGAAGAAAAUGAGGUGAACAGCGUGAACACGUACAGCAAAUCGAUUACGGUGAAUCAGCCAAGAAAGGUGGUUACUAAUCAGCAGGGUUCAUCAAGACAAGAAUCAGGUGUGAAGCCAGGUACUGAGAAGCUCCAGUUCACACCAAUUUCGAUGUCCUAUAAGGAGUUGUAUCAAAGCUUGUUCGAUGCGCAUGUUGUUGCUCCUCAUUACUUAAAACCUCCACAACCUCUGUAUCCUAAGUGGUAUGAUGCGAACGCGCAAUGUGACUACCACGCGGGAAUUACGGGGCACUCAAUAGAGAAUUGCAUUACCUUCAAAAAGCUAGUUGAAAAAUUCAUCAACAUAGGUAUUGUCAAGUUGGGUGACUCAUCUAAUGCAGAAAAUCCGCUACCCAAUCAUGAUUGACAAUAAGGUGAAUGCGAUGUAUGAAGAGAUGUUGGGAAGUGUUCACAUCAAUGUCAUAGAUGAAGACACAAUCGAAAAGGGAACUUAUUAGAUAUCCACCUUUGUAAACCUGAGAGUGUUUUAAACAAUCGAACUGCGGAAGAAAUAUUUGUAGUAUUUAGGGCUUAUUUAGAGCAAUGUUCAAAACACACUUGUUGCUUUUAGCCUAGAGCCAAUAAGAAUUCCUUUGUGAAGGAGGCUCAUGUCUAAAUGUCGUUAUUUUAAUGAAAUGCAUCCUUGCGAUCAUUUUUGAACCAAUAUUCUUUCAGUCUGUCUGAAUAGUUAUUCUUUCAUUCUUUUGGAUUUUCUUCCACAUCAUUCAUUCAUUCAUAAUCAUAUUGUAUAGAUAGUUCUUCAUAAAUCUAUACAUUCUUUUGUAUAUUCUUUGAUAUUUAUUAUGGCCCCCCAGAUAUCAAUGACAUGAAUGACACUGCUACAGAUUUAGAAUCUCUUUUUGAGCAAGACAUGUGUUUAGAGGGAUCUCCUGACUUUGAAGAUGACAUAGAUCGUAGCCUAUCUCCAGACUUGUUGAGGAUGGUAGAGCAAAAAGAGAGCAAAUUUUACCUCCUGAAGAGACAAUGGAGAUUGUGACUUUAAGAGAACAUGCAUAACCGGAGAAAUGAAGCAAGACCUUGUUAAGUUACUUCGAGAGUUCAAAGAUGUUAUCGCAUGGUCAGACCAGGACGUGCCCGAGUUAAGUACUGAUAUUGUAAUUUGAGCAACAGCACAACGUCAAAAAUUUGCAGUAUGUUCAAGAUUCACAUCAUGAACGAUGUAGUUAGAAUUCUUUACCGGGGUAAUACCUUCUUCUCUGGCUUAUUCCGUUGAAGUCAAGUUGUAAUUUUUUCCGUAUUUUUGUUAGAUUUGAUCCUAAUUGAAGAGGAAGAUCUAAAAUUUUCUCGUCAUAGUUAAAUUUCGCCCCAAAAGGCUCUAUGAGAGAAACCUGAUGCCAAAGAAGAUCUUUCGUAUACAAAAUGAAAGUGGAAGUUAUGGGGAAGACCUUAUCUGGAAUAAUAUUGAUUCUGAUCGAAAGAGAUGACCAGGACUUGCCUAAUCCUAUAAGUGCAGAUUCAAUCCAAAAAAAGAAGAGAGAAAACAAAAAAAAAAACAAAAAAACAAAAAAAUAGGAAAAGAAAAAAAAGAAAAAGAACCCCACUGGGGCAAUGCCUUUCUCUUUAGCUUAUCACAGUUUUCCAUUUGAAAUUCUUUUUCUCCGGGUAUUGGCUAAGCUGAAGUAGGAUGAAGAUCCAAUCUCGAUAAGAUCAGUUGAACUUAAUUGAAGGAAAAAGGCUAUUCGUCACGGUCAGAUGUACCAAAAACGGAUGAUGCGAGCUUACAACAAAAAGGUUCGUCCCAGAAAAUUCCACGAGGGAAACCUGGUAUUGAAAAAGAUCCUUCGACAAAAGGAUUUUAGAGAAAAAUGAGUGUCAAAGUGGGAAUGUCCUUAUAUUGUAAAGAAGGCCUUUUUUGGAGGAACACUGAUUUUGAGUGAGACGGAUAGUAAAAACUUGUCUAAUCCUAUAAACUCAGAAUCAAUUAAGAAAUGCUUCACUUAAAGAAGGAGAGGACCAAGGUAAAAACCUGCAAAGGGCACUUUGAGUCACAAAAAAAAAGAAAAAAAAGAUGUGAAAAAUAAAAAAUAAAAAAUGAAAAAUGGAAAAAGUAAAAGUGGAGAGGCUAAGGUGAAAACCCGCAAAGGGCGCCUUAGACCAAAGGGGAUUUGAGUUGAAAACCCGAAAAUGGCGGCUCAAAUAUUGGUCAAAAUGGGCAUGAGGUAAUCAGAGCAGCUCAAAUGUUGAUUAGAAUGGGACAUGCUGUGAUCUUGAUAUGCCUUAGUCAGCAGGAAAGGGUACGCGACAUCUUGGGACAUCGACAGAGUAAUGUAGAUCUCCUAAACACAUGUCAAACUCAAAAUGGUCUUCAAGAAGUUUGUACAGAGAAGUUCAAGCUGCGACAUCUGGGGCACCUCGUCUCCGUACUAUUUAUUUUGAAUUUGUUAUUCUUGGAAUACUUCAUUCUUUUCCAAGAUACGCAUUCCCAAUCAAUUUCUUUGUUAUCUUUCUUUACUAUUUUUGAUAAUUUAUUCAUUUCGAGCUAUGCUCAAAACUAACUUUAUUCUUAUCCAUUGUUAUGAGCUUUUUGCAAGCAUGUUGCAUUGGAAUAAUGAUUAAUGGACUAAUAAAACUUUCACAAGGGAAGUUUUGCAUAUUACUCUAGAAGUUUCUAAACAAUAUAGGAGCCUGAAACAGGACUGUUGUUUAGAACGCACCAGGUUUAAAGGUUGGAAAUCUGAGAAGGAAAAGUCUAAAUUAGGACUUUCUUUUUGAUUUUGUUGUCAAAAACAUUGAACAAAAUGACAGGAUGAUAGGUUGGUGGCAAGACUUAGAUGAACAAGCAAGCAAUAAUCACCAAGUAAUAAAAAUGAGUUUCUUUGGAGAGAAGAAUCCUUCAUUCGUGCAUAGGCAUUUGGGUAUGACACCCUGAGAUUGGUAUGAAAGACCAAAGAGCUUCACAUUUUGCAUCCUUGAAUUGCGAUAGAUGAGGAUUGAGAAAAGACCAAAAUUUUCUACCCUUGGGUUACAGCGGGAGAAAGAUGGUACAAAUUUUACAUCCCAAUGGAUGAAACUUUGAGGUUUACAGUAAGGGGCAAUUUGAUCAAGCGUUUAUUUGGAGAUGUGAUCCGAACAAAAGACGUUGUAGCACGUCAGUGAUACGACUUUAAUAAACUUCGAGUAAUGACAACCUAAGCGGGAUCAUUCUCGGAGAGUAAAAUUUUGCAUUCAUGCAAACACCAUUCACACAUGUCUAGUUAGGAGCUUUUGAUUCAUUUUGAUCAUGCCAUCCUAAUCAUUAGGCAUAAUUAGGUUCAUUAUACAGGUCAUGUUCUCCGGAGAACAGAUCAGUGAAAGUAGCAGAUCUUGCCUUCCUGCAUCGACAGCGAAGGAGAUCGAAGAUACUAAUUCUAUCUCCCUGGUUGGUAGUGGAAUAGAUUGAAGAUUUCAGAUCUUAUCUCCCUAGGCAUUAGUGGAGCAGAUCGAAGACGACAGAUUUUACCUCCCUCUGGUUACAGUGGAGUACAUUGAAGCCGUAAUUCUAUCUCCCUGGUUGGUAGUGGAAUAGAUUGAAGAUUUCAGAUCUUAUCUCCCUAGGCAUUAGUGGAGAAGAUCGAAGAUGGCAGAUUUUACCUCCCUGUGGUUACAGUGGAGUACAUUGAAGCCGUAAUUCUAUCUCCCUGGUUGGCAGUGGGAUAGAUUGAAGAUUUCAGAUCUUAUCUCCUUAGGCAUUAGUAGAGUAGAUCAAAGAUGGUAGAUUUUACCUCCCUGAGGUUACAGUGGAGUACAUUGAAGCCAGUAAUUCUAUCUCCCUGGUUGGCAGUGGAAUAGAUUGAAGAUUUCAGAUCUUAUCUCCUUAAGCGGUAGUGGAGCAGAUCGAAGAUGGCGAAUUUUACCUCCCUGGGGUUACAGUGGAGUACAUUGAAGCCAGUAAUUCUAUCCCCCUGGUUGGCAGUGGAAUAGAUUGAAGAUUUCAGAUCUUAUUUCCCUAAGCAUUAGUGGAGCAGAUCGAAGAUGGCAGAUUUUACCUCCCUGGGGUUACAGUGGAGUACAUUGAAGCCAGUAAUUCUAUCUCCUUGGUCGACAGUGGAAUCGAUCGAAGAAUAGCAGAUUUUAUCUCCCUAAGCAGUAGUGGAGUAGAUGAUGACGGCGGAUCUUGUUUCCUCGACAUUGUAAUUGGAUAUAUUGAAGAAGAUAAUCCUAUUUCCCUGAAGUUGCAGUGGAGCGGAUUAACACCACGGAUCUUAUCUCUAUGAACUGCAAAGGAGCAGGUCGCGUCAACUUUCAGUGGAAUAAAUUGAAGCUACAAGUCAUAUCUCCCUGAAGUUGCAAUGGAGCAGACUAAAGAUAGCAAAUUUUGUUCUUUUGAGAAGUUACAAGAUAAGUCCUAUCUCCCUAACGUUGUAGUGGAGUGGAUUGAAGCACCAAUUCCUAUACCUCUGAAGAUGCAGUAGGUUGGAAUGAGGCUACUUGAAAAAGAAUGGCGCUAAGGUUCAGCACGACCGGGCAAAAUUGGCUAUUUCUGAAGUCUUUGCUAUGUUUUCGUUACACGAUAACAAGCAAAGAGGGGCAGCUGUAAUAGCCAAUUUUAACCCGGGGCCCAAAUUAACCAAUCAAAUCCAAUAAAACUUGGGCCAAUCCUGACCCUAUUGCAUUUGGCCCAAUAAGGCCCAAGUGUGCUAACCCUAGCCUAACCCUAAGCAGCAGUUAGCAGUAGCCACCCCACGUCGCAGCAACCUCCAGUGCCGUGCACGCCCCACGUUCGGCAGCCUCCCAAACUGUCCCACAUCUU
rnacentral:lncRNA from 1 species